rnacentral:rRNA from 1 species
AAGACCUUGCGCUUUUGGAGCGGCCGAUGUCUGAUUAGCUUGUUGGUGAGGUAAAGGCUUACCAAGGCUUCGAUCAGUAGCUGGUCUGAGAGGACGGCCAGCCACACUGGGACUGAGACACGGCCCAGACUCCUACGGGAGGCAGCAGUGGGGAAUUUUGGACAAUGGGGGCAAGCCUGAUCCAGCCAUGCCGCGUGAGUGAAGAAGGCCUUCGGGUUGUAAAGCUCUUUCAGCCGGAACGAAACGGUUACGAUUAAUACCCGUAACUACUGACGGUACCGGAAGAAGAAGCACCGGCUAACUACGUGCCAGCAGCCGCGGUAAUACGUAGGGUGCGAGCGUUAAUCGGAAUUACUGGGCGUAAAGCGUGCGCAGGUGGUUUUGUAAGUCAGAUGUGAAAUCCCCGGGCUUAACCUGGGAACU